UACGGAGGAUGCGAGCGUUAUCCGGAUUUAUUGGGUUUAAAGGGUGUGUAGCCGGGCUGACAAGUCAGAUGUGAAAUCCGGGGGCUCAACCCCCGAACUGCAUUUGAAACUGUUGGUCUUGAGUAUCGGAGAGGCAGGCGGAAUUCCUAGUGUAGCGGUGAAAUGCGUAGAUAUUAGGAGGAACACCAGUGGCGAAGGCGGCCUGCUGGACGACAACUGACGGUGAGGCGCGAAAGCGUGGGGAGCAAACAGG
rnacentral:rRNA from 1 species